AGCGAACGCUGGCGGCAGGCCUAACACAUGCAAGUCGAACGAAGUCUUCGGACUUAGUGGCGGACGGGUGAGUAACACGUGGGAACGUGCCUUUAGGCUCGGAAUAACUCAGGGAAACUUGUGCUAAUACCGAAUGUGCCCUUCGGGGGAAAGAUUUAUCGCCUUUAGAGCGGCCCGCGUCUGAUUAGCUAGUUGGUGAGGUAAAGGCGCACCAAGGCUACGAUCAGUAGCUGGUCUGAGAGGAUGACCAGCCACAUUGGGACUGGGACACGGCCCAAACUCCUACGGGAGGCAGCAGUGGGGGAUCUUGCACAAUGGGCGAAAGCCUGACGCAGCCAUGCCGCGUGGAUUAUGAAGGUCUUAGGAUUGUAAAAUCCUUUCACCGGUGAAGAUAAUGACUGUAGCCGGAGAAGAAGCCCCGGCUAACUUCGUGCCAGCCGCCGCGGUAACAC
rnacentral:rRNA from 1 species